UACGGAGGGUGCAAGCAUUAAUCGGAAUUAUUGGGCGUAAAGGGCGCGUAGGCGGACAUGAAAGUCAGAUGUGAAAUUCCGGAGCUCAACUCCGGCACGGCAUUUGAAACUCCAUGUCUAGAGGACUGGCGGAGAAAACGGAAUUCCACGUGUAGCGGUGAAAUGCGUAGAUAUGUGGAAGAACACCAGUGGCGAAAGCGGUUUUCUAGCUUUUUCCUGACGCUGAGGCGCGAGAGCAAGGGGAGCAAACAGG
rnacentral:rRNA from 1 species